rnacentral:rRNA from 1 species
UGGUUGCCAUGGUGGAGAGGUCAUACCCGUUCCCAUCCCGAACACGGAAGUCAAGCUCUCCUACGCCGAUGAUACUGCUCCUUCGCGGGAAAGUAGGUAGUAGCCAGGCUCCCCUUUGCCCAUCACUCGCUUGACAAAAUAUUAUCCGAAACCUUAAAGUCCGCCCUUCUUAGGGAGGGGUGUUGCGCGCGUUCUAGCAACCGAGUCAAUAGUGUUUUUGAAAAAUGGAGGGUCGCGUCUACCCAGUUGUAAAAAGAGGUGUUCGCGCGCGUCCGUGCUCUCCACACGAAGCGGAGCUCCGUCCACUCACGAAAGAUAUCGUGUCCGAAGUACAAUACGAGCAUCAUAACGUAAACUGCACAGGGUGUUGUGUACGCUGUGCU